GAUGAACGCUGGCGGCGUGCUUAACACAUGCAAGUCGAACGGUGAAGGCGGAGCUUGCUCUGCUGGAUCAGUGGCGAACGGGUGAGUAACACGUGAGCAAUCUGCCCCUGACUCUGGGAUAAGCGCUGGAAACGGCGUCUAAUACUGGAUACGAGCUGCGAAGGCAUCUUCAGCAGCUGGAAAGAACUUCGGUCAGGGAUGAGCUCGCGGCCUAUCAGCUUGUUGGUGAGGUAACGGCUCACCAAGGCGUCGACGGGUAGCCGGCCUGAGAGGGUGACCGGCCACACUGGGACUGAGACACGGCCCAGACUCCUACGGGAGGCAACAGUGGGGAAUAUUGCACAAUGGGCGAAAGCCUGAUGCAGCAACGCCGCGUGAGGGACGACGGCCUUCGGGUUGUAAACCUCUUUUAGCAGGGAAGAAGCGAAAGUGACGGUACCUGCAGAAAAAGCGCCGGCUAACUACGU
rnacentral:rRNA from 1 species